AAAAAUGGAAUAAAAACAUAAAAUAGUAGCAUAAAACAAUAUCAUAAAUAUUAUAAUAGAAAAGAAAAAAUAGAGGAGACGAGAGAUUAGAGAAGAUAAAAAAAGAAAGAACAUAAGAGAUGCGAUAUUAUAGAAGAAAUGUGCGAUAAAAACAUAAUUGGAAGAUAAAUCAAUAACAUAAAAAUAAGAAGAUUAAAUAUAAAGAACAUAAGAGGAGAGAUUAGAGUAGAAUAGGUUAGACAUACAUGACAAAAAUAUGAGAAGAAUGUGCAAUACUACUAGGAGAGAUUUGAGAAGGUUGAAACUAAAAUCCUAAGUGUGGAAUAUUUGUAAGGUUAAUGCAUAAUAGGUUUGGGUUAUGGGUUGGAUGUGGGAUAAAUGAAGUUUAGGUUGUAACAUAAUGAGGUUUGGUUUGGUUUAGUUCGGUUUGAAAAAUACAAACGCAACCAAACCGCGCGGUUUUGUAAAAAAUGGCCCAAACACAUCCGAACCAAUUGCGGUUUUUUGCGAUUUCAGUUUGGUUUGGUUUGCAAUUUUCUACUGGGUUGGUUCGGUUUUGAACACCCCUAUGCACACACGCACACACACACAUACACACACACACACACACACACACACACACACACUCACACGCACAUACACGACAAGUGCACACACCUGCACUCGCACCUGCACCUGCAUUUGCACAUGCGCG
rnacentral:lncRNA from 1 species